rnacentral:rRNA from 1 species
AUGGUCGUCGUUGCGCCUCUGUUCGUCGACGGUUUCAUCACGAGCCCCGUGCCUGUUUCCAUCGCUGCUCGCGCACCGCCUUGCAUUGUCUUCUUCUGGCCAGAGGUCCUUUGUCUCGCUUGGUUUUGGAUCGGCAAGAACGAUACGCGAAGAACCAUACCCGGACCGUCAAGUAUUUUAUCGAAGAAUUUUGCCAAGUACCAUGACGAUGCGUCAAGUACCACUACGUUCGUCGAUCGAAGUACCCCUCCAUUUCGUCGAGACUGGCAAGUCCAAAGACCCCAAGUACCACGACAACCUCGAAGGGAUUCAAAUCCGUCAAGCUCCUCUAACGAUGACCCGAGAACGUCUAUGAUCCAUGCACAACUACCGUCGCCAAGACCAGACUGA